AUUGAACGCUGGCGGCAGGCCUAACACAUGCAAGUCGAGCGGCAGCGGAAAGUAGCUUGCUACUUUGCCGGCGAGCGGCGGACGGGUGAGUAAUGUCUGGGAAACUGCCUGAUGGAGGGGGAUAACUACUGGAAACGGUAGCUAAUACCGCAUACGUCGCAAGACCAAAGAGGGGGACCUUCGGGCCUCUUGCCAUCAGAUGUGCCCAGAUGGGAUUAGCUAGUAGGUGGGGUAACGGCUCACCUAGGCGACGAUCCCUAGCUGGUCUGAGAGGAUGACCAGCCACACUGGAACUGAGACACGGUCCAGACUCCUACGGGAGGCAGCAGUGGGGAAUAUUGCACAAUGGGCGCAAGCCUGAUGCAGCCACGCCGCGUGUAUGAAGAAGGCCUUCGGGUUGUAAAGUACUCUCAGCGGGGAGGAAGGCGUUGAGGUUAAUAACCUCAGCGAUUGACGUUACCCGCAGAAGAAGCACCGGCUAACUCCGUGCCAGCUGCCGCAGUAA
rnacentral:rRNA from 1 species